GUGGUUGAGAGUUGUAUUCUAUAUUGUUGAUGGUUCAAUAUUCUCAAAUGAAAACACUCUUUCUUUUUUCUUUCUUUUGUUUUUUUUUUUUAAUAUAAAAGACGUCCCAUAAUAGGCUUAAGGUCUCCUUAAAUUACAACAGAUCCACAAGUACAACAAAAAAAAGAGUUCGCCCUAAUUUAGUGGUUGAGAUCUGAUUCCGGCGGCGACCAAAAACAGAAGAUACGACACAUUACUCCGGCAAACACAAAGAGGAAUAUUUUGCUACACAAUAACUGGUUUCAAACUCUUCAACAUGAGUGUGAUGUCCUCUACCAUUGUUAAGGAGCUACAGUUGCAUCGCUUGGCAGAUGUCCUCACCUCGCCAUUGAAGGAGAAGGGAGCUUGCUCCCCUUGCUUCACCGUUGAAUCCCACACCUGUAGUGAAGAUUAAGAACAAACAGAAAAGAAAAUAAAAACUAGAUCUAGGAAGUUGUCUUCUCGAGAGAGAGAAAAGUGAAUAGUGCUUUUGAACGAUUGUGAGAGAUGAAAACUUUCAUUGACCAAAAAAUAGAAAACUUUCAGUCAGUAUAAUUAUUUGUGAAAAAAUCAUCGUCGCUGAGAAUAAGUAUAUGUUUCAAUGAAAUGUCAUCAAGGAAAAUCUUUAAAAUCAUUAUCAUUAUUAGUAGAAGUCAUUAAAAAUCAAAGUAACAAAACACCAACGCUUUUUAGAAACACGCAUAAUACCUUUUAGAUUUAUGCUUGGAACUGCAUUUUUGUUAAAAGAAUUCAUUACCCUUGCUCAUGUGACACCGAUCAUCACAUGUGCCGUUUUAUGUGUUUAAAUGCUUGAUUUGGAUUGUUUUGAUUAAUGAUGGUUGUUGAUGCUUGUGUGUAUACCCCAG
rnacentral:lncRNA from 1 species